rnacentral:rRNA from 1 species
UGCGUAGGCGGUCUAUUAAGUCAGAUGUGAAAGCCCCGGGCUUAACCUGGGAACUGCAUUUGAUACUGGUAGACUAGAGUAUGGUAGAGGGGGGUAGAAUUCCUAGUGUAGCGGUGAAAUGCGUAGAUAUUAGGAGGAAUACCAGUGGCGAAGGCGGCCCCCUGGACCAAUACUGACGCUGAGGUACGAAAGCGUGGGUAGCGAACA